GACCUCGUGGCUCAGUUGGUAGAGCAUUGGCUAACAAACCAAAGAUUGUGGGUUCGAUUCCCACUGCGGUCA
rnacentral:tRNA from 1 species